rnacentral:misc_RNA from 1 species
AGAGAGAGGGAAGAAGAAGGAGAAGCAAGGUAUAACAUCUUAGUUUUAUUUUUCGGGGGCAUUAGGGGACUGCUAUAUCAAGUUAGGAGAAGCAUAAUUGUCAUGUCUGCCAUUGUUAAUCUAGACCCAAUUCCUUAAUUUCUUUCUUUGUGAAGAAAAUUCAAGUUCAAUAGACCUUUCUUAUAGACAGAUAAAUAACCGG